CCAAUUCUGAAGAUUGCCGGCCGAUUCUCGUCGCCGACAAGAGAAGACCUAGGAAAAAACAAAUCAACGAUGGAUUCCACACAUGCAAAUUGGGAAGCGAUUGAUGCUCUCUUGAUGCUCUCAUCAUGGAUCUAAAAUAUUUUCUGAAGACGAUGCUGUUGCAGCCAAUUUAUCUCCAUACAUCACCAUCUCAUGCUUCUUCUUUCUCUCCUCUUUUUCUUAUCACUCACGGUUGAUCAUUCUCUAUAUCCGAAACUCUACUCAAUCCGGUGACAUUACCGUUAUUGACAUCCCUCGCUCCCACGCUCCUUUCGUCCUCGAUCAUUAUUGUAUUCUAUUUCGCCUCCAGCAACAGAUUUGAGUUGUAGGAGAUGAGGAUGAUGACCUCUGAUACAGAAUCCACCAAGUUUUGGGCUUAUCAAGCUCAGGGAGAUGAGUCAAGGCUUGAAGAGCUUACCUUAAAUGACUUUGUCAAGUUGCAUAAUGUAAUCACAAGGGAAUAAACGAAUAGUAUCCAUGAUUUGUCUGUGUCACCUGAAAACAGAACAAUGACAACAACAUGAGGAAGAGACACCAUUGAUGCAGGUGAAAGACGAAUAGUAUCGAUGGUUUGAUGGCGUCACGUGAGAAGAGAACAAUGACAACAACAUGAAGAAGAGCCGCCAUUGAUGCAGGUGAAAGACGAAUAGUAUCAAUGUUUUGUUGGCGUAUCUUGAAAAACAGAACAAUGACGACAACGUUAUGAAGAGACACCGUCGAUGCAGGUGAAAGACUAGUACGACAACUCUAUUAGAACACAAACCUAAUCUUGUUUGUUCUUGGAGAAUUUUGUAUAUAAUGAUCAUCUCUGUAAUAUAAAUUGUAGAUUUGUAAUCCCAAAACAAUAGUCUUUAUUUACAAUCACAAAAACUUUAACCCU